rnacentral:lncRNA from 1 species
CUUUUGGCCACGGCAACAAUUUCUCUUCUCCUUGGCCCCACCUUCUCUACUGGCAGAGAAGGUUCCUCUCCAGCUCUAGUGUGGGCUUCGCCUCCCAGGCGUCCCUGCUGCUGAGGUGCGCAGAUGCUCCAGGCAAGGUAGCCUCACAGAGGACUGCUCAGAGGUACAAAAGAAUCCCAGCACUUUUUUGCCUUAGAUGUCUGCGAACUACCACCAUCACGUCUGGAAAAAAGCGACUUCACACUAAUACAGCAGAGGAAAACCAUAGGUUGGCCAAAAACGGAACAGAAUUUACAAGGGAAAACGAAGGUUCCUGGAGUGAUAUGUGUAGGUUAGAUGAGAAUGGAGCUGGUGAAUGAGCAGAAGAGAAGGUUGGAAGGUUGGAAGAGUCCCAGCGGAAGGAGCCCCAGUAAGUAAAUCAAAUCAACACCACACCUCCUGUUCCUUUGUCCUUUCAUAUACAGCU